rnacentral:misc_RNA from 1 species
CAUUCAGUAGCCCAGCUACUUGUUUACACCCUUGUUUUUUUUUUUGCGUACUUAUCGUUUCCUCGGCGGGCUUGCCUGCCGGUUGGACAACUUUAUAACCUUUUUAAAUCUUCAAUCAGCGUCUGAAUAAUAUACAAUAAUUA